AAAAACAUGGCUUUUUGAUAAUAAUUUAAAGUCAGGCCUGCCCUAUGAGAUUUAAAUGGCUGCAGUAUCCUAACUGUGCAAAGGUAGCAUAAUCAUUAGUUUCUUAAUUGGAAGCUGGAAUGAAAGGUCGAAUGAGAAAAUAGCUGUCUCUGUAAAAAUUUUAUUGAAUUUUAUUUUUAAGUUAAAAAGCUUAAAUUUUAAUAAAAGACGAGAAGACCCUUUAGAGUUUUAUAUUCAUAAAAAAAAAUGGGAUUUUUAGUGUAAAUAAUUUCAUUUUUUUUAAAAAAUAUUUGAUUGGGGUGAUUAGAAAAUUAAUAAAACUUUUCUUUUAAAAUUACAUUAAUUUAUGAAAAAAUGAUCCUUAAAUAAAGAUUAAAAGAUAAAAUUACCUUAGGGAUAACAGCGUAAUUUUUUUUGAGAGUUCUUAUCGAAAAAAAAGAUUGCGACCUCGAUGUUGGAUUAAAAUAAAUUUUUGGUGUAGUCGCUAAAAUAAUUAGGUCUGUUCGACCUUUAAAAUUUUACUUGAUCUGAGUU
rnacentral:rRNA from 1 species